rnacentral:lncRNA from 1 species
CAAGGGUAUACACUAAAGAUUUUAUUGGAUUUAUUUAAGGUUUAAUGAAUACUUUGAUUCCUAUAUCGAAGGAAAAUAUUAAUUUGCUUCUCAAUAUUUUUUUUUACUCAAAUUGAUUUCCAAUUUUGUUUAAAAUCGUGAAAUGUUGGUCCUUCGGUUAAAUUGAAGUUAAUGUUGUCUAGUGGAUGUCAUGUGUCAUUAUCUUGAAUUUUUUUGUGUUUUCGUUUUUUUAAGUCUUUUUUCAUCCAUUCACCUCCUUCCUCCUCCUCCACUACUCAAUCCCUCCAUCUUCUUCCUCCUCUUCCUCUUUCCCUACAUCACCCCAUCAUCCGCUUUCUCAUCGCCCCCGACAUCCCCUCCUACACCACCACCAACCCUAACACUGUAAACACCACA